AUUUAAGUUGCGUAAGCACACUGGAGGAUUCGCCUAGUGGCCUAUGGCGCACGCUUGGAAAGCGUGUUGGUGUAACAGCCUCGCG
rnacentral:tRNA from 1 species